AUUGAACGCUGGCGGCAUGCCUUACACAUGCAAGUCGAACGGCAGCGGACCUUCGGGUGCCGGCGAGUGGCGAACGGGUGAGUAAUGCAUCGGAACGUACCUUUCAGUGGGGGAUAACGUAGCGAAAGUUACGCUAAUACCGCAUAUUCUGUGAGCAGGAAAGCAGGGGAUCGCAAGACCUUGCGCUGAUUGAGCGGCCGAUGUCAGAUUAGCUAGUUGGUGAGGUAAAGGCGCACCAAGGCGACGAUCUGUAGCGGGUCUGAGAGGAUGAUCCGCCACACUGGGACUGAGACACUGCCCAGACUCCUACGGGAGGCAGCAGUGGGGAAUUUUGGACAAUGGGGGCAACCCUGAUCCAGCCAUGCCGCGUGAGUGGAGAAGGCCUUCGGGUUGUAAAGCUCUUUCGGCCGGGAAGAAAUCGCACGGGCUAAUACCCUGUGUGGAUGACGGUACCGGAAUAAGAAGCACCGGCUAACUACGUGCCAGCAGCCGCGGUAAGAC
rnacentral:rRNA from 1 species